UACGUAGGGUGCGAGCGUUAUUCGGAAUUACUGGGCGUAAAGCGUGCGCAGGCGGUUUUGUAAGCCAGGUGUGAAAUCCCCGGGCUUAACCUGGGAACUGCAUUCGAUACUGGGCGGCUAGAGUAUGAGAGAGGGAGGUAGAAUUUCACGUGUAGCGGUGAAAUGCGUAGAUAUGUGGAGGAAUACCGGUGGCGAAGGCGGCCUCCUGGCUUAACACUGACGCUGAGGUGCGAAAGCGUGGGGAGCAAACAGG
rnacentral:rRNA from 1 species